rnacentral:misc_RNA from 1 species
UCGAAUAAACUUGAACAGGCUGUUGCUGGUCUUCUUGUGGGACAUGUGCACGCUUGUCAUCUUUAUCAUUUCUCCAACUGUGCACGUAUUUUGUAGACCUUGGAGGGGAUGGAAUUCGUUCCGAGUGGGGACUGCUGUGCUUCAAAAAAAAUAGAGGUCGGCUUUCCCUUUGAAAGGUCUAUGUCAUUUUUUCACAACCAAUGUGUCUAGAAUGUUGUAAUGAAUAAAAGUUAUAAAAAACAACUUUCAGCAACGGAUCUCUUGGCUCUCGCAUCGAUGAAGAACGCAGCGAAAUGCGAUAAGUAAUGUGAAUUGCAGAAUUCAGUGAAUCAUCGAAUCUUUGAACGCAUCUUGCGCUCCUUGGUAUUCCGAGGAGCAUGCCUGUUUGAGUGUCAUUUUGAACUCUCAAAGCCCCACGUUUUGACGUGGCUUUGGACUUGAGGGCUUUUUGCAGGCUUUUGAUCAGAAAGCCUGCUCCCUUGAAAAUCAUCAGUGGUAUCUGGAGCGGAAACUGCUAGGUGUUGAUAACAUUCAUCUAUGCCUUUGGGUAUGCCGCGUAAAAUGUGCUGCUUCCAACGCCCCAUGCUCUUUGACAAA